ACAUGCCUACAACAUAGCGUUAAUGCAUCGAAUCCCAUUAUAACUCUGCAUUUAAGUGCGCUCAGGCUAGAGUAGUACUGGGAUGGGUGACCGCCUGAAAAAUCCUAUUGUUUUACAUGCC
rnacentral:rRNA from 1 species